GAUGCGUGUACCCCACUUGUUCUGGUAAGACAUUUAAACAGUGGACAUUUUACAAAUCAAUGAAACCCAUUCAAAUUAUGAAGAUUUUGUAUUCAAGUCCAUUCCAAACCAAAUACCAACAAAAUUUAUUAAGGUUGUGUUUGAAUAAGCAUGCAUUUGACAUGAAUUACUUAAUAAGUUAGUUUCAAAGUUGAUUAUACACACACAUAGACACACACUUUGGUUAGGUAGAUUCAUUAUUUCAUUGAUUAGAAACUGAAUUCAUGAAUGCGAACUUUAACUUAUUUGACCAUGAAUAACUACUAAAAAGGUGUAAUUUCAAAUGGGCACUAUAACACUUUAGAUUAACCAUAUAUUUUUAAUAUCAUUGUUAGAUAUAUAGCUUAUAAAUGACACAGUUUAUACUAAAAUUUCAAAUAUCUCUAUCCAAAUGAAACUAAGAUUAUCUUGGAAUCAUUAAGAACCAGGCAUAUAUUCAUAACCUGACCUUAUGAGAAAA
rnacentral:misc_RNA from 1 species